rnacentral:lncRNA from 1 species
AUACAUGGGGGUAAAAAAGCAGGAGAGACUGAUUGGGAAUUACACGUUCAGCCUACAGCCAUUAAAGGGAAACAGUUGAACUGAUUCAGAUGCUUUCUUAGGAGGAGGAGGAGGAGGUAGAGAACACUGAGAAGUGUCUGAAUAUGAAGAGGUAAGAGCUCUGUGAAAAAAAUCAAAGCUGGGCUAUUCUGUUUGAGAUUUGUUCACCGUUGUGUCUGGUGCACAUGU